UGAAUCCUUCCGUGUGGUCAAGUCAUGGCAUUUGUUGUGUGUCUGCAGAAGCUUAUCGUCCGUCCAUAUCACCUUCUUGAGUGGUAGCGUAGGAAAUAGGAAAUAUACAGAAGCUGCAUGUUUAAGGAACAAUAAGGCAUCAGGUAUUGCUGCAUUGGUGGUUGCUGUGAAUAGGUGAAAUUGUGUGAUGAGUGUUUGGUUUUUAUUUAAUAAAAACUUGUAUCCUAAGAAUAUAUCUCAGUUAUUUGUGAUCUUUUCGCGAUCCUCUUUCUCCUUAUUCUCUGCCUAAAGGAAAGAAGAAAAAGAAAAAGAAAAGAAUCGUUUAAUUUCUAUGAGUGAAACCUACAAUCAUGUAGUUCUCUUUUGUUGUAUAACGUUAUUGUUUGAAUUCAUAUUCUUUUUAUGAAGCUGUCUUUGAGUGGUUCAAGUGCUACUACAUUACACUUAGACAUCCUUCAGUGAAACAUCAAAUGUAGUGUAACUUUCCAGACGCUAUUUUGACAAUGCAUGACUAACAAAAUUCCUUAAAUGCAACUAUUUUUCCUAGAAAAAGUCCCAUAAAGAGAUGAUAAGUGGGAGAAAGAGUGAAAUGACAAUGUCUUCUGGAGUGGAAGACCUUCCGAGUUCCGUAUCAUACACUAUCAUAGGCGCGAAAUCCGCCUAGCUACUUACUACUCAACUUAAAAUUAAAAUUAAAAUUGAAAUGGAAUUCAAAUUGAAGGAGAAAAAGAACCGUACUAGUCAGAAUUUGGGGAAAGAUGGAGAGCUCUCUUGAGUUUGGGGUCGAAGGCCUGCCUCGAAAAAGUCAGUGUCAGAUCCUUCUCCCUACUCAUGUUGUUGUGCUUUUACAGUUUGUUAACAGUUUCUGCAAAUGAUCC
rnacentral:lncRNA from 1 species